rnacentral:sRNA from 1 species
UCCUGCAGCUGCACAUGAGCCACUACCC